CUGGCUCAGGAUGAACGCUAGCGGCAGGCUAACACAUGCAAGUCGAGGGGCAUCGGGAGUAGCAAUACGUGCCGGCGACCGGCGCAAGGGUGCGUAACGCGUGAGCAACAUGCCCGUAUCAGGGGGGAUAAUCCAUGGAAACGUGGUCUAAUACCCCAUAGUAAUUAUGUAAGGCAUCUUAUAUAAUUUAAAGCUUUGGUGGAUACGGAUUGGCUCGCGUGACAUUAGCUAGAUGGUAAGGUAACGGCUUACCAUGGCUACGAUGUCUAGGGGUUCUGAGAGGAAGGUCCCCCCACACUGGAACUGAGACACGGUCCAGACUCCUACGGGAGGCAGCAGUGAGGAAUAUUGGACAAUGGAUGGAAAUCUGAUCCAGCCAUGCCGCGUGCAAGGAAGACGGCCCUAUGGGUUGUAAACUGCUUUUGUAUGGGAGCAAUAAGGGCUACGCGUAGUCCGAUGAGAGUACCAUACGAAUAAGCACCGGCUAACUCCGUGCCAGCCGCCGC
rnacentral:rRNA from 1 species